rnacentral:rRNA from 1 species
GGGUUAGUAGGUUGGUCAUGCCUCUGGUAUGUACUGGUCUCACUGAUUCCUCCUUCCUGAUGAGCCGUAAUGCCAUUAAUUUGGUGUUGCGGGGAAUUUGGACUGUUACUUUGAAAAAUUAGAGUGUUUAAAGCAAGCUAACGCUUGAAUACAUUAGCAUGGAAUAAUGAAAUAGGAUCGAACGUCCUAUUUUGUUGGUUUCUAGGAUUGACGUAAUGAUUA